AGUGAACGCUGGCGGCAGGCCUAACACAUGCAAGUCGAGCGGCAGCACGGGUAGCAAUACCUGGUGGCGAGCGGCGGACGGGUGAGGAAUACAUCGGAAUCUGCCUUGUUGUGGGGGAUAACGUAGGGAAACUUACGCUAAUACCGCAUAAGACCGAGAGGUGAAAGCGGGGGAUCGAAAGACCUCGCGCGACAAGAUGAGCCGAUGUCGGAUUAGCUAGUUGGCGGGGUAAAGGCCCACCAAGGCGACGAUCCGUAGCUGGUCUGAGAGGAUGAUCAGCCACACUGGAACUGAGACACGGUCCAGACUCCUACGGGAGGCAGCAGUGGGGAAUAUUGGACAAUGGGCGCAAGCCUGAUCCAGCCAUGCCGCGUGGGUAGAAGGACGUCG
rnacentral:rRNA from 1 species